rnacentral:misc_RNA from 1 species
UCACGCCCGAAGUCGUUACUCCAACCCUUGUGGAGGAGGACGUCGAAGGUGGGGCUGAUGACUGGGGUGAAGUCGUAACAAGGUAGCCGUACCGGAAGGUGCGGCUGGAUCACCUCCUAACAGGGAGACAAACAACGAUUUUGAUGUCUGAGUAUUUUAUUCUUAGGCCAAAAUCCUGUCACCUUAGGUCGAUCGGUACCUCAGCUUUGAAGCCAUCAAAUUUGCAGCGAUGCAAGUGAGGAUGGUGGAGAUUUUUAGUUCCUAAACUUUGUCUAGGUCACACCCCUGAAGGGAUGAGACCCCUGGGCCAUUAGCUCAGGUGGUUAGAGCGCACCCCUGAUAAGGGUGAGGUCCCUGGUUCAAGUCCAGGAUGGCCCAUUCGGUGUUGGGGGUUUAGCUCAGUUGGUAGAGCGCCUGCUUUGCAAGCAGGAUGUCAGGAGUUCGAGUCUCCUAACCUCCACUGACCAAACUGUAUCCCCAUCUCCAAAAGGAAUUGGAGUAUGAAUUCGAUUGGAGUGUGAUUUUAGACGUGUCCGCUGGAUGACCCCAGCUUCCUGUCAUUCCAAAUGAAAGCAAAAAGGAUUUUGCUAGUUAAAUUUGGUUGAUAAGAUGCUGGGCUCAAGUCAAAUGAUCAAGCAAUUGAUGAUUUGGUUUGAAGUUCUAGCAGAACCUUGACAACUGCAUAGGUAAGUCUGGAAAGAAUAAAGCAUCUCUCAUGGAUGCAUCAUUCUUUUUAAGGAUGAUGUCGAUUCUUGAGCAAGAGCCGAGACUCCAUCACGUUCUUUUGAUUGUGUCGAGCAAUCAAGAGUUUGAUUUUUGAUUCAGCAAUGAAUCAGGAAGAAUCUGUUUCAACAACAGCAAGCGUGUUGGAGAUUAUAUGGUCAAGCUACAAAGGGCUCACGGCGGAUACCUAGGCACACAGAGG